GGAGCAAGAAAAAAGGGACCGCGUAUAACACUGGUGCUGGUGUGAACAACAGCACAUACUGCAAUUCUAUUAUUACACAACAAAGGGAAGCCCCGCCAAAGCAGGGCAUCAAAAAAUUAGUUGAAACUCAUAAAUGUUCCUCUCCACGGAAAUCUUUAGUAAAAGGCGAAAGAUUUAUGCGAUCUGAAGAGAAACCAGAGUAUGCUAACAUCACCGUUCAGUAGGCAACCUACUCAUAUUGUUAUUGUAACAAGGGACGGGUAGUUGUUUUAAACGAGCAUUUUAAAGUCUAAGUCUUGAGAAAAACAGCCAAAACAGCAUACAAGUACUGUAUGUUGACAUUUAGAUUUAAAUAUGAUAUUUUAAAAGCAUGCAUUUCAUAAGAGGAAAUUAGAUUCUACCAAAGUGCAUUAUGGGUAUGCAAAUAUGAUCCAACCCUGCAGCGCGGUUUCCACCCAACAGUAUUGCUCAACCCCAAGGUAUUCGUUUUCCGUUUAUAUUUUUUUGUCCCUCUCUAUUUUUAGCCGAAGUUUCAAGGAUUUCCGCCCCGUACAGAGGAUCGCCUUCAAAAAGAAGACGAGCGUUCCCACUCCAGCGCCGUGUUGGUGUCACUUACACUCCCAACUUCUGCUGUCUGAAAGGAAACCCGACUCCACGGAGCCGACUAGACUCAGCAGAAAGACGAACUGAAUGUAGAACCACCUUUCAAGGUUGUGACAGCAGUUGUGAAGGAUUCAGAAGACAGUUAUUCGAAUCUUAUCCCAAACUGAGUGAGGGUGGUGGAUUUUAACUAAUAAAAAUUUCAGGAUCUACGAGAAGACAGAUCUAGGCUUUUAUUGUUGCCCUAAUGAGGGGUACUCAGCAAAAUAUUUAAGGGACCCAGAAACCCAAAUGGUCUCUGCCAUUAUCUAUGUAAGGCCGCUACAAAGAGGUCUUAAUAUGGAUCAGGUUCCUGGGCUGUCCUUAUCCACUGGGCCCCUGAUGAAGUGCCUCUUUUGUGAGAAAGACUUUUCCUUCUCAGAAAUAAAGUCACAGUGACGGCUGUAGCAGCAGAAUGGAAAAUCAUGGCAAAUUUGUUCAGGGAGGCUGUAUUGAAGCAGCAUGAAACUGGUAAACCACUCCAUCUAAGAAUGGAUUUGCGAGACAGCAUGGAGAAUAGAGAGAGGGACAUUUUGUCAUUUUAUAAAAUGUCCAUAAUAGAAUGGGCCUGUCCUUUAAAAUGCACACUUGAAGGUAUUUGAAUGGAAUUUUACUCACUCUCUUUAUUUUUAAGAUUUUAAUCAUGGUUUCAUAUUUUAAUGUUCUGAGUUUUCCAUAGGCGAUGCAGCUGUGGGUGAAGGAGUGAACAGGUUCUUUUUCUCCACAAUUAUAUCAAAGCUUCAGUUUGGUUUUCAUCGUAACUUGCUUUCUAUAAAACAGGGUUUUUAAAUGACGUUAUUUAGAAAUGUCAGUUUAUAUUAAUUUGCUCAAGAAUAUUACAGAUCACAAUGUAUUUGUAAUAUUUGUCACAUGCUUGUGGAAAAAAUCUAUAUACUUUAUCGGUCAUAUUUUUGCUUUUUAUACAUCACCAAUCUAACAGAAUAAGGAUAGACUGUAUAGUGGAGGCAUCCCAUGCGCAAUGGUUUUAGUUAAUUAACUGGCCAAGGACAUCACUGUUCAGGUUAUUUAUUCUAAGAGUACUACAGAAAUCAUUGUUUGUUUCCAUUAUUGUUUAGUCUUGCAUCUAGACACUGUGCUUUAAUGUUUACAAUUGUGUAAGUAACGCCUAGACAGUAUGAACUCAGUUAGCAGUGCAUGUUUUGUGAGUUCAAUUUUUUGCAGAAUAUAAAAUGUGAUUUGAUUCUUAUUUAUGUUUGAUUUCCUCCCUCCUCAGGAAUCACUGACAGAACUUUUAAUGUUUGAAGGAGAACCUGACCAUUUAAUUCCCUCCACAUCUGAGUUCCUUCUCGAGAGUGACAUGUUUCACGUUGCUGGGCGAAUGAUUGGACAUUCUUUCCUGCACGGUGGUCCAAGCUUAGCUGGAUUGAGUCCCGCAAUUAUCCAUGUGUUGCUUGGAGGUGCACCAGAAACAGCCAAUCUGGAGAUUCACGAUUGUCCUGAUAUUGAUGUUCGUGAAACUGUCAGAUUAAAUUGUCCCAAAUUCAAGGUUGUAGGCUGGAGACUGAAAUGUACUGAAGUGUAAAUCACUGAUGUAGAGUGGGAUGAUCUCCGUUCCAUGUGAACAACUAAGAAUGGAACGGCAAGAAAAUCGGCAUUGGCUAAUGGACAAACUCCUCCUUCACGCUGUUAUUGUAAGACCAACUCGACAGGUUAAACAGCUGAGGAAAAGACUGAAAGAGACAUUGGUCUGGCCUCUCCUGAAGGAAAGAAGUGAUAUUAUUCCACUGAUGUUUCCAAGGGCCUCUGACACACUAUACACCUCCCAGAUGAUCACCUGGCCCACACUGAAUGUGGCGGAAGAUGAUGAUGAUGAUGACUGUUCUCUUGAGACUAAAUGCCGUAUCACAGGCUUCUUCAGGACAUUCAUUGAAACGCAUCACCAAGAGUGCUGAUUGAUCUCCUCAGAUUCUGGGUUGGAUGGGAGGUCCUCCCGAAGGAGCAGUCUGUUGAGGUCACAGAUACCAAACUGCCCAAAGCAUCCACCUGCUUCGAAAUCAUUAAACUACCCAGACACGACUUUCACUACUCAUCAUUUGAGGAGGAUCUUCUUUCCUGUAUACAUACUGUGGACACCGGCUUUGGACUUGUCUAAUUUAGAAUUCCGCCAUGAGAAAUCUGUUUGAACUCCUUCAGGGGCCAAUUAAAAUAUACAACAUAAUUGAUUUGACAACUAGAAAUAUAAAUAUGACAAAGUAAAAAAAAAACAUCCAGGUUAAUGUUCUGCUAUAUUAUUAUUAUUAUUAUUAUUAUUAUUAUUAUUAUUAUUAUUAUUAUUAUUUAUUAUUAUUAUUUAUUUCUUAACAGAUACCCUUAUCCAGGGCGACUUACAGUCGUAAACAAAAAUACAUUUCAAGAAUCACAGUACAAGUAAUAAUACAUUUAUAUAAAUACUAAAUGUACUAAGAAAGAAAUUCAAAUUAAUGACUGGCAAUUUUAUUAGGCCAUUUUAUUAUUUCGAUUACAAUAAAUAAUGCACUGAUUCUCAAAACUUUUUUUUUGGGGGGGGGGGGAGAAGACAACGCUUUUUUUUCUUCUAAAAUACUUCCUUAAGUUUGUGAAAACAUCUGUUAAAUAUCAACAUAAGCACAGAUACUAUUGUCAUUUAUUUAUUUAAGAAAGUCAGACUCAAUGACAAAAAAUACAGCUGUCCCAAACAAUAAAAAAAUCAUCAAA